rnacentral:rRNA from 1 species
UACGAAGGGGGCUAGCGUUGCUCGGAAUCACUGGGCGUAAAGGGUGCGUAGGCGGGUCUUUAAGUCAGGGGUGAAAUCCUGGAGCUCAACUCCAGAACUGCCUUUGAUACUGAGGAUCUUGAGUACGGGAGAGGUGAGUGGAACUGCGAGUGUAGAGGUGAAAUUCGUAGAUAUUCGCAAGAACACUAGUGGCGAAGGCGGCUCACUGGCCCGUAACUGACGCUGAGGCACGAAAGCGUGGGGAGCAAACAGG